rnacentral:rRNA from 1 species
CCUACGGGUGGCAGCAGUGAGGAAUAUUGGUCAAUGGUCGGGAGCCUGAACCAGCCAAGCCGCGUGAGGGAGGACGGUCCUGUGUAUUGUAAACCUCUUUUGUCAGGGAACAAAGGCGGGGACGUGUGCCCGGAUGAGUGUACCCGAAGAAAAAGCAUCGGCUAACUCCGUGCCAGCAGCCGCGGUAAUACGGAGGAUGCGAGCGUUAUCCGGAUUUAUUGGGUUUAAAGGGUGCGUAGGCGGACUGUUAAGUCAGCGGUCAAAGUCCGGUGCUCAACCCCGGCCCGCCGUUGAAACUGGCAGUCGCGAGAUGGAGAGAGGUAUGCGGAAUGCGCGGUGUAGCGGUGAAAUGCAUAGAUAUCGCGCAGAACUCCGAUUGCGAAGGCAGCAUGCCGGCGCCGCUCUGACGCUGAGGCACGAAAGCGUGGGUAUCGAACAGGAUUAGAUACCCUAGUAGUC